rnacentral:rRNA from 1 species
GAUGAACGCUGGCGGCGUGCCUAAUACAUGCAAGUCGAGCGAACGGACGAGGAGCUUGCUUUUCUGAUGUUAGCGGCGGACGGGUGAGUAACACGUGGAUAACAUACGUAUUAUACUGGGAGAACUCCGGGCGACCGAAGCAAAUACCGGAUGAUAUCUCGAACCGUAUGGUUCAAAAGUGAGAGACGGUCUUGCUGUUACUAAUAGAUGGAUCCGCGCUGCAUUAGCUAGUUGGUAAGGUAACAGCUUACCAAGGCAACGAUGCAUAGCUGAGCUGAGAGGGUGAUCGGCCACACUGGAACUGAGACACGGUCCAGACUCCUACGGGAGGCAGCAGUAGGGAAUCUUCCGCAAUGGGCGAAAGCCUGACGGAGCAACGCCGCGUGAGUGAUGAAGGUCUUCGGAUCGUAAAACUCUGUUAUUAGGGAAGAACAUAUGUGUAAGUAACUGUGCACAUCUUGACGGUACCUAAUCAGAAAGCCACGGCUAACUACGUG